rnacentral:lncRNA from 1 species
ACCAUAGCUCUGAUUUCAAUUUCGAUUGCGCUUACAUGUUCGUAUGAUUAAGUACUCCAACAAUAUGCUAAAAGAAUAUUUCGUACUUCUCACUAUACGUUGGUCAACAAAAGUCAACGAUUUCAUCUCUAGGGGCAUUUUCGUUAAUUCAUUCAUUUAAAAUUUAUAAAAUGUAAAAUUAGGGACUAGUUGUCACAGUAGGCCUAUUUGACUGAACUUUAUUUAAGAUUAGAGAGGGAGAGAGGCCAGCGGUAAGAGAGAAAGAAGAGAGAGAUUUAACUUUGAGGUGUGUGUUGUAUCACCCCGUUGUGCCUUUAUUUAUAGUAGUAUGAUAGGUUAAAUCCUUACCCUAAUAAGAUUACAACUCUAAUAGGAAAAUAACUACUAAAGGAAUAUUCCAACACUCCCCCUUGAGUUUGGAAAUAGUCAAACAAAACAUCGCAUCAUAUCUUCAGCAGAUAAGGUAGAACAAUUGAUGAAGUUAACGGCACAACAGGUAAAUGCAAGUCUCUAAUACAAAGAAAGUAUGCAUUGGUAGUAAAAAUCACAAAACCUAGCUAUGGUAAAACCUAAAGUAGGUGAAAACCCAUAGACUAAGGAGAAAAGUGAGAAGUAUGCACAAUGCCUAAAACAAACAUCAAACAAGAUGAAAAUAGUGAAUUCAACGAAGUAUGAUCAUCCCAGGAUGGGUGCCUCAUCAAAACCUCAUUAGAUAGCAAAAACCCAGUGGGAGAAAUGCUUAUAAUCGUAGGAAAAAAAGAGUACAUAAAGAUCAAGUGAGUAUACUUCAAGAUACUCCCCUUGAGUUAGACACAACUUCUAAAUAAGAGAACUACAAGUAAUUCAACUCAGAUAAUUUACGCAUACCGAUUCCUUGGACAAGCUUUUGAAAAGUAGACUUGGGCAAUGACUUGGUAAAGAGAUUUUCUAGGUUGUACUGGGAACGGAUUUGCUUGACUUCAAUUUCUGAUGUAGUUGUUGCUAUGAGAAUAAAAGAAUUUCAACGCUAUGUGCUUGUGUUGUCUCCCGUGAUGUAUCCCUUCUUUAACUGUUC